rnacentral:rRNA from 1 species
UUGGAGGGCAAGUCUGGUGCCAGCAGCCGCGGUAAUUCCAGCUCCAAUAGCGUAUAUUAAAGUUGUUGCAGUUAAAAAGCUCGUAGUUGAAUUUCGGGAUCAAUUUAUUGGUCGUGCCAACGGUACGCACUGGUACAAUUGGUUUCUCCCUUCUGACGAAGCAUGAUGUCAUUAAUUUGAUGUCGUGGGGAAUCAGGACUGUUACUUUGAAAAAAUUAGAGUGUUUAAAGCAGGCUUUGGCUUGAAUACAUUAGCAUGGAAUAAUGAAAUAGGACGUUUGAUCUUAUUUCGUUGGUUUCUAAGAUCGACGUAAUGAUUAAUAGGGAUAGUUGGGGGCAUUAGUAUUCAAUUGUCAGAGGUGAAGUUCUUGGAUUUAUUGAAGACUAACCACUGCGAAAGCAUUUGCCAAGGAUGUUUUCAUUAAUCAAGAACGAAAGUUAGGGGAUCGAAGACGAUCAGAUACCGUCGUAGUCUUAACCAUAAACUAUGCCGACUAGGGAUCGGAUGAUGUUAAUUUUUCUUGACUCGUUCGGCGCCUUACGGGAAAC